CUACGGGCCGCACCAGUAAGGAAUAUUGCGCAAUGGAGGCAACUCUGACGCAGCCAUGCCGCGUGCAGGAAGAAGGCCUUAUGGGUCGUAAACUGCUUUUAUUUAGGAAUAAACCCUCGCUCGUGAGCGAGGCUGAAGGUACUGAAUGAAUAAGCACCGGCUAACUCCGUGCCAGCAGCCGCAGUAAUACGGAGGGUGCAAGCGUUAUCCGGAUUUAUUGGGUUUAAAGGGUGCGCGGGCGGGCUAUUAAGUCAGUGGUGAAAUCCCGGGGCUAAACUCCGGAACUGCCAUUGAUACUGAUAGUCUUGAGUUUGGUUGAAGUGGGCGGAAUGUAGCAUGUAGCGGUGAAAUGCAUAGAUAUGCUACAGAACACCAAUCGCGAAGGCAGCUCACUAAGCCAAAGCUGACGCUCAUGCACGAAAGCGUGGGGAUCAAACAGGAUUAGAUACCCUGGUAGUC
rnacentral:rRNA from 1 species